UACGGAGGGUGCAAGCGUUAAUCGGAAUUACUGGGCGUAAAGCGUGCGUAGGCGGUUCGUUAAGUCUGUUGUGAAAGCCCCGGGCUCAACCUGGGAAUGGCAAUGGAUACUGGCGAGCUAGAGUGUGUCAGAGGAUGGUGGAAUUCCCGGUGUAGCGGUGAAAUGCGUAGAGAUCGGGAGGAACAUCAGUGGCGAAGGCGGCCAUCUGGGACAACACUGACGCUGAGGAGCGAAAGCGUGGGGAGCGAACAGG
rnacentral:rRNA from 1 species